rnacentral:rRNA from 1 species
UACGUAGGGGGCUAGCGUUGUCCGGAAUCAUUGGGCGUGAAGCGCGCGUAGGCGGCCAGAUAAGUCCGGUGUGAAAGUCACAGGCUCAACCUGUGAAUGCCGCUGGAAACUGUCUGGCUAGAGUCCGGAAGGGGCGAGUGGAAUUCCUGGUGUAGCGGUGAAAUGCGCAGAUAUCAGGAGGAACACCGAUUGCGAAGGCAGCUCGCUGGGACGUUACUGACGCUGAGACGCGAAAGCGUGGGGAGCAAACAGG